ACCAGCAUAUAGUUUGUCCUUGUCACAGUGUUGCAGCCCAAGACCGGUUACUCACUGAAGCUAAGCAGGGCUGAGCCUGAUCAGUACCUGAAUGGGAGACCAUGGGAAGACUAGGUUGCUGUUGGAU
rnacentral:rRNA from 1 species